CGCGUAGGCGGUUGAUUAAGUCGGAUGUGAAAGCCCUGGGCUUAACCUGGGAACUGCAUUCGAUACUGUUCGACUAGAGUACGAGAGAGGGAGGUAGAAUUCCACGUGUAGCGGUGAAAUGCGUAGAUAUGUGGAGGAAUACCUGUGGCGAAGGCGGCCUCCUGGCUCGAUACUGACGCUGAGGUGCGAAAGCGUGGGGAGCAAACA
rnacentral:rRNA from 1 species